AGCCCCGAAAAACUUAGAUUGCAAAUCUAAAAGAGUCGGUUAAUUCCCAGCCGGGGCUU
rnacentral:tRNA from 1 species